rnacentral:lncRNA from 1 species
UAACUACUAAUUCUGUUAUCCCAAACUGAACAAGACUUAUCUGUCUUUCACAUGGAAGCCCUUCAGUCAUGAAGACAGCUAUCACGCCCACAUGCUUAAGUGCAUUCUGAAGGGUUUAGUUAUCCCUACCAUCAGCUUCCAGGGCUCCUUUGUAAUGCAGGUACAGACAGGGUCCUCUCCAGACUUAAGAGCUAAGCAAGGGCUUCCCAGAGAAGAGGAAGCUGCACAUCCAUGGAAUCUGCCCAAUACACUCAGUGGGAGACCUCUGAGGAAUUUGAGAUGGUUGAUGCCAAGCGCAAAUGGCGACCCUGGGAAGCUGGUGAGUAAAGGACUGGCUACCUGGCCCCUUGCUGAACAAACCCACCCUAUCUUCGAGUUGGGUGUUUUGUUGGAGUCUCAGCUCUGGAAAGGUUGCUGGGGCAAAGGGGUAAUCCUGAAGCCUAGAUUCUGGCCCUCUACCCUGUCUUCUCUAGGACCUCUCCUCUCUUUUCUCUCUGUAAUGUCCUUCCUCCAUUUUAUUCUCUUCUUGCUUUACCCAAGCCCUCUCCUAUCUCCAGUAACUCUAACUCUCUUCUCUCUGAUCUCACCUCCCCACCCCAUUUUUCUUACCUCCCUCAAUCUCCUCUAUUUUUACUUGAUCCCUCAAUAUUCUCUCCCAGCUCCAUAUCUCCAUGCUUCUCAUCUUUUGCCUUAUUCCAUAUAUCUUUUUCUCUCCAACUUCCCACCAGACUUUCCCUCCUUCCUUACAAUCCACCAAACUGCUCAUUUCCUCCAAACCUGGUCCAACCUAUCUUCUCUUCCAAAUGCGUAUGAUGGUGUGUAA